GUUCUGCUGGAGGUCAGCGGAUGAAGCUGAAGAUUAAAUAGGAAGGCUUAUUUUAGCAGGGCUAAAGAAAUCUUGCUGUCCUUACAAUACCUUUGAGAAACUAUUGAAGUUUUAGGAAAAUGGUUAGAAGCAUUCUGAAUGUGGGCAUGCAAAUGAGUGCACUUUCCAUUCCACCCCAUUGUGUCUCAGAAUUCCUCUGUUUAGAAUUACUACUGAGAUGCUUCAACUCACCCUGGUCAUCUCCAAAAACUGUUCAACCCAUUUGUCUCUGUUUUACUCACUUCUUACCUUCAAUAGUAUGUAUUUUAACGCAUGUACUGCUUAAGAAUGUGUGUCUUGAUAAAUAUGUGAAUUUGCUAUGAACAAUGUUUUUUUGUUUACCUAUAAUAACUGAGAGAAGACUUGUGAAGUAGGCAUAUUAUUUAUCUACCUGUA